GCGGAUGUGGCGGAAUUGGUAGACGCGUCAGAUUUAGGUUCUGGUAGGAUUUCCUGUGAGAGUUCGAGUCUCUCCAUCCGUA
rnacentral:tRNA from 1 species